rnacentral:lncRNA from 1 species
GAGUCCACCCGAGAGAGUCCGGCCAGCGCCGCCCCUUCCCGCGGGUGCGGGUGCGGGUGCGGGUGCAGGUGGGCGCCCCACUGGGCAGGUCCGAGCCGACCCGCCUGAAGACGCUGUCUCAGGCCAAAGGAAGCCAGGCUGAAUUCGUGACAGGGAAGAAAGUGCCAGCGGGUGAAAUAAACUAAGUGGUUUGACCCCGCUCGAGAGGGAGGAGGCCGGCGCGGCUUGCAGAGGGGGCUUGAAAAGGCGCCGCCACACUGUGAAUUAAUUACCUGCAAACGGGGGCUUGCACACCAACUGGGGUGCAUCUGCUUUUUACACCCAGUGUUUGUACUCCUACCUGGAGCACGAUUGAUGAUAAGGGGCAAACUAGUUUUGUCAUGAAUAUUACUAAUUAAACUAGGCAAUUCUAAUACAAUUAACAAUUUAAUAAUAGCGUGUUUUUGGGGGGUUUCAAAUCUGCUUGUUGAUGCUGUUGAUAUUUGGGUUCUAUUUGGAAAAUGGAGUGCAGGCUGGAGAAGCGAACUCCAGAAGUCUACUGAUGUGGGCGCUUGUCCAUUUGGAACAGCAGCUAUUUUUAAUGAAAUGAGAAAAUGUUCUGGCUUCAAGACCCAGCUCAAGAUCUGCUGCUUUUGGAAGUGGUCCCGACCGGUGCUGAUCGCAGUGAUCUCUAGUGUUUGAAACAGCAAGGAUUUGUCUGAAUCCUUCUGUUAGCCCUUGGAAAACGCAUUAUAUACCUUCCCUCCUGUGCCCUACACAUUGCUACUCAGGGGAAAGAUUGUCCAUGUCUCCCCCAGCGUUCGUUAAAGCCAAGUCUUCGUAGUGGAGUGAUUUAGCACAGUGCUUCUCAAAGUUUAAGAGGGAUCACCUGGGGAUAUUGUUGAAGCCAAAUUUGAGCGUGUCGAGAGUUAGGCCUGAGAUUCUGCAUUUCUAGCAAACUCCCAGUUAAUGGCAUUGCUGCUAGUUUGAGGACCACACUUUCAGUAGAGAGGUGUUGAUCGCCGCUUUGGCAUUAGCCAGCCUAUUUUGAGUCCUGACUACACCACUUGCAAGCUAUAUGAUCUUAGGCAAGUUUCUCAACAUUUAAGCCUCACAUACUGUAAAAUAGGGAUGAUACUAAUUUCCACCUCAUAGGGUUGUCUUGAAGAUUAAGUGAGAAAGUCCAUAUAAGGCACUUAGUGUAGUGCCUGGCACACAUACCUAGGGUUCAGAAAAUGCUAGCUAAGUCACUGUAGAGGUCAUCCUUGCAGGGGGAAAGCUGGCACCAAGUGCAGCAUGGCUGCAGGGGGAGCAAUGUGUGAAAUGGGCACAAGGGUGAGGUAGCCUGCCCAAGAACAAGGACUGUGCCCUGUAGUGCCUAGCAUGUGCCAGAUGUAUAGGAUAAGUUUGAUGAAUAAAUAAAUGACUCUAAUGUGGAACAGAUCGUAUGUGUUCAAAAAGUUCUGCUUCUCCUUUAAAUCAUGAUAAAUUAGUUCUGAGACAUUGAAUUAAAAAAUCAUUUUGCUUUCUAUUACAGAUAAUGUCCAGCUGCUUGUCACAUGGGUAAUCUAUUUUAAUAUCUGAGACAGUACAUGGAUUGUUAAGGGUUAUCUUAUGAUUUAGCCAAGGUUAGUCUACUCCAGGUUAGAGUGCAGUUUGAUCAUCCAAACUCUUCUGUGACACAGCAUUCAGGAAAGAUCAUCUGUAUGAUACCCUAGGGAACACACCAACCAUUAGGAAGAUGACUUCAGCCACAGGAUGAAACAGAUGACGAGAGACUGGAGUCUAGAAGAUCAGCCAGAGGGCAAGUAUCGUGAUCCAGAUGAAAACCGAUGAGGACCUGGCCUAAAACAGUGAUAAUGAUGAUAGAGAGGAGAGAUCACCAAACAUGUGAUCUUCAGUAAGAGAGAGAGUGAGAGAGAGAGUGUGUGUGUGUAUGUGUGUGUGUGUGAGAGAGAGAGAGAAUGUGUGUGUAUGUGUGUGUGUGUGUGAGAGAGAGAGAGAGAGAGAGAGAGGUUAUUUCCAGGUUUGUAGCUAGCCAGUCUAAGUGGAUGGUAGAACUGUUAGUAGAGAUGAUGAAAUGGGAUAUCAAGCAUGAUACUGAGUUCACUUUCGGACAUGUCAAGUCAGAGGUCCCUAAGGGAUUCUGGAAAGAUGUCUAAUGGGUGGUUUAAAUAAAAAUCUUAAGCUCAGGAGAGCUUAAAGACACAGAUUUUGCAGUAGCUUUUAUUUCUCAAUCUGUAGCCCUUUCUACAACAGCUGAUCUUAAAAAAUAGCCCUUCCUUUAAAGACAAAUUAAUGUAACAGCUUAACAUUUAUAAUUAUUUAUAAUGAAAAUGAUUAAGAAUCAACUACUGCAUUGUAUAAUGGUAAUGGCAAUACAUCAUUACCAAACAGACAAUGUUAGAAUUUUAAGUGGACAUUUAGGCUAGUUUUGCACUCUAAUGACCUCUUUAAAAGUAUGUAAUUCUUUUCUGGUUUUCCAUGUUCACUAUUUUGUUAUUCCUCAAGGGUUCUCCAGACUGCAGUGUAUUGUAAGAUAGUCUCUCUUUCUUGCAUCACCUAAAACCUUGUGCAAAUGGGUCAUUUAUUUUCUUUCAUUGUGCUAUAGAAAUAAUGAUUUUUCUGAUCUUGCCUUUCCUUCUUUUUUUUGAGACAGAGUCUCACUCUGUCACCCAGGCUGGAGUACAGUGGCACAAUGUUGACUUACUGCAACCUCCACCUCCCGGGUUCAAAUGAUUCUUCUGCCUCAACCUCCCGAGUAGACAGGAUUACAGGCAUGCACCACCACACUCAGCUUAUUUUUCUAUUUUUAGUAGAGAUGCGGUUUCCCUAUGUUGGCCAGGCUGGUUUCGAACUCCUGACCUCAAGUGAUCCACGUGCCUCGGCCUCCCAAACUGCUGGGAUUACAGGCAUGAGCCACUGCACCUGACCCUGCCUUUCCUUCUUACGGAACCAUGAGCAUUGUAAAACCAUAGCACGAUUCCUCUUUAACUCUCCAUCCUCUCCAUAUUGUUUAUUGAACAACCUGUCAAAGAAUGUUCUUGUUGAGUUAUGACAAUGCCUUUCAAGCCAUGCCAUUUCUACAAAUUUCUUACUGUCAUAUUGUGAUGUAAUAAGAAAUAUAUAUUUGGUCUGUGCCUUGGUUCCUGGCACAGAAUUCCUCAAACCCUUUUAAUUUCCUGAGUGAUAGUGGUGUUAGGUGCAUCUUUUGUGCUGAUGUUUGGUCUUGGGCCCUGGCUCCUGACACAGAGGUCCUAAUCCCUUGGAGUUUCCUGGGAGAUAGGAACAUUUUUUGUUCUAACGAGGCAACUUUCUGUGGGCUCCUAGACGGAAGCUGGUCACCAGAAAGACCAAGCUAUGAUUAGAAGAUUGGAACUUUCAGUUCUUCCCUCAUGCUCCAGGAAGGAGAAAGGGCCUGGAGAUUGAGGUAAUAAUUGGUCAUGCCUAUAUGAUGAAGCCUCCACAAAAAUCCCUGAACUGCAUGGUUCAGAGAACUCUGGGCUGCUGAACACGUGGAGGUGCUGGGAGGAUAGCUUGCUCAGAGAGGGCAUGGCAGCUCUGCGCCCCUCCCACGUACCUUGCCCUGUGCAUCACUGCCAUCUUGCUGUCCAUCUGUAUCCUUUCUAAUAUACUUUGUAAUAAACUGGUAAAUGGAAGUAAUCUGCUUUCUUGAGUUCUAUGAACCAUUUUAGCAAAUUAAUCAAACUCAAGGAGGGGGUUGUGGGAACUUCCAAUUUAUAGAUGGUUGUUCAGAA